UUUUGUGUAUAAGGGGUAGUAGUUUACCGUUACGAAUUCUACAUGACAGUCACUCUCCGAAACCAUAUAAACUAAAAAUACGUUAAAUAUAUAUAUAUAUUUGCAAACUUACGUUAUUUUUUUAAAAUUAGUCAACAAAUAAAAAAAUAAUCUUAGAACAAUGGUAAAAUAAAAUAAUUUACAAUAUAUAUAUAAGAUGAUUGUAACAACAUAAAUUAUAAGAAUCUGAAAUAUUUUAUCCAAAGUGUUACGAAAUUUUUGUGAAUGCCAAUCGAUCAGCUGAGUGUGAUUCCUCUCUCUCUCUCUUUUUUUCUUAUUCAACUUUUUGAAUUCAAGUUUUUUUUCGGGAAUUAAUAAUGAACGAGAAAACUGAUACAACAAAUAUGGGAAUUCAAUCUUUAAAUGAAAUAAAAGAUGACAAAAACGAGGAGAAUAAAAACAACCGGAAAUCAUUUCAAGACGCAUUUCAACAAUAUUUCAAUACUGAAAAUCAGGGACAUAAUAUGCAAAAAAUUGAAGAUAAAAACAAUUUUCAAAGUGCUUAUGAGGAAUGGCUGACUGUUUAUCGUGAGAGUAAAUUAAAAAUUCAUCACGAUGACAAAGAAUUAUCAGAUAAUAACGAAAAAAAAUAAUUUUAAUAUUUUUUAUAUUUUAUAGGCUGUGGUUCUAUUUUUGUAUAAUUAUUAUUAAAUAAAAAUUAUUGUAUAGAAAA